GGGGAAUUAGCUCAGCUGGGAGAGCGCUGCGUUCGCAAUGCAGAGGUCAGGAGUUCGAUCCUCCUAUUUUCCACCA
rnacentral:tRNA from 1 species